rnacentral:rRNA from 1 species
GAUGAACGCUAGCGGCAGGCCUAACACAUGCAAGUCGAGGGGCAGCACAGGUAGCAAUACUGGGUGGCGACCGGCGGAUGGGUGCGUAACGCGUAUGCAACCUACCAUUGAUUGGGGCAUAGCCCGAAGAAAUUCGGAUUAAUACUCCAUAAUAUUCAUCAAAGGCAUCUUUUAUGAAUUAAAGCUUUUGCGAUCAAUGAUGGGCAUGCGUGACAUUAGUUAGUUGGUGAGGUAACGGCUCACCAAAACGAUGAUGUCUAGGGGUUCUGAGAGGAUUAUCCCCCACACUGGUACUGAGACACGGACCAGACUCCUAACGGGAGGCAGCAGUGAGGAAUAUUGGUCAAUGGACGCAAGUCUGAACCAGCCAUGCCGCGUGCAGGAUGACGGCCCUAUGGGUUGUAAACUGCUUUUCCACGGGAAGAACCCUCCGACGUGUCGGAGACUGACGGUACCGUGGGAAUAAGCAUCGGCUAACUCCGUGCC